GACGAACGCUGGCGGCGUGCUUAACACAUGCAAGUCGAACGGAAAGGCCCUGCUUGCCGGGUACUCGAGUGGCGAACGGGUGAGUAACACGUGGGUGAUCUCCCCUGCACUUCGGGAUAAGCCUGGGAAACUGGGUCUAAUACCGGAUAGGAGCCAUUUUUAGUGUGAUGGUUGGAAAGUUUUUUCGGUGUAGGAUGAGCUCGCGGCCUAUCAGCUUGUUGGUGGGGUAAUGGCCUACCAAGGCGGCGACGGGUAGCCGGCCUGAGAGGGUGGACGGCCACAUUGGGACUGAGAUACGGCCCAGACGCCUACGGGAGGCAGCAGGGGGGAAUAUUGCACAAUGGGCGCAAGCCGGAUGCAGCGACGCCGCGGGGGGGAUGACGGCCUUCGGGUUGUAAACGCCUUUCGCUAGGGACGAAGCUUUUUGUGACGGUACCUAGAUAAGAAGCACCGGCUAACUACGUG
rnacentral:rRNA from 1 species